rnacentral:rRNA from 1 species
GAUCAGCCACACUGGGACUGACACACGGACCAGACUCCUACGGGAGGCAGCAGUGAGGAAUAUUGGUCAAUGGGCGGGAGCCUGAACCAGCCAAGUCGCGUGAAGGAAGAAGGAUCUAUGGUUCGUAAACUUCUUUUGCAGGGGAAUAAAGUGCAGGACGUGUCCUGUUUUGUAUGUACCCUGAGAAUAAGGAUCGGCUAACUCCGUGCCAGCAGCCGCGGUAAUACGGAGGAUCCGAGCGUUAUCCGGAUUUAUUGGGUUUAAAGGGUGCGUAGGUGGUUUGAUAAGUCAGCGGUGAAAGUUUGCAGCUUAACUGUAAAAAUGCCGUUGAAACUGUCGGACUUGAGUGUAAAUGAGGUAGGCGGAAUGCGUGGUGUAGCGGUGAAAUGCAUAGAUAUCACGCAGAACUCCGAUUGCGAAGGCAGCUUACUAAGCUACAACUGACACUGAAGCACGAAAGCGUGGGGAUCAAACAGGAUUAGAUACCCUGGUAGUCCACG